AGCCAAAAGUUAAUAAAAUCUCGACUAUUAUCUAAAAUCUCGACUACUUCUUCGUUUUUUUUUAGAUAAUAGUCGAGAUUUUAUUAAUUUUUGGGA
rnacentral:pre_miRNA from 1 species